rnacentral:rRNA from 1 species
CCUACGGGAGGCAGCAGUGGGGAAUAUUGCACAAUGGGGGAAACCCUGAUGCAGCGACGCCGCGUGAAGGAAGAAGUAUUUCGGUAUGUAAACUUCUAUCAGCAGGGAAGAAUAUGACAGUGCCUGACUCAGAAGCCCCGGCUCACUACGUGCCAGCAGCCGCGGGAUUACGUAGGGGGCACGCGUAAUCUGCAUUUACUGGGUGUAAAGGGAGCGUAGGCGGGGAUGCAAGUAAGAAGUGAAAGCCCGGGGCUCAACGUCGGGACUGCAUUUGAAACUGUGUUGCUAGAUUGCAGGAGAGGUAGGUGGAAUUCCUAGUGUAGCGGUGAAAUGCGUAGAUAUUAGGAGGAACACCAGUGGCGAAGGCGGCUUACUGGACUGCCACUGACAUUGAGGCUCGAAAGUGUGGGUAGCAAACAGGAUUAGAUACCCGGGUAGUC